rnacentral:lncRNA from 1 species
UAGUCCUUUCUAUUUUGUGUGCUAUCUCAGGUUGCUGAUUGCUGAUAAACUGCUGGUAAUGGUGAGUGGCUAUACUGGCAUCAGCAAAGGCAUAUCCCAAGAUAGCAGAACAUGAACAGAGUGGAGUAACGGCAUGGAUUGCUGACACCAGAAGCCAGGAUUUUCUCGGCAUCCCAACAAGUCACUAGGCAUGAGGAUCCAAGAAGGAAAGCUGUCUUGUGAGCCCAAGGCCACUAAAGAGUUUAUGAGGGACACUUCAUCAGAAAGCCCCUGGGUGCCGGUAGUAACAGAGCCUGUCGUGCCAGGAUCAGAGAUCAAGAAUGGAAAGACCUGAGCUCAUUUCCUGUUAUAUAGCAGGCAUUCAACAAAUAGUGACUGCUAUGGUUUGAAUGAUUUUCUUCUCUCAAAUUCAUGUGGAAAUUUAGUUGCCCUUGUAACAAUAUUAAAAGAUGGGAUUGUUAAGAGCUGAUUAGGUCGGGAUGGGUUUCACCUUCA